UGCUUCUCUGAUGUUAGCGGCGGACGGGUGAGUAACACGUGGGUAACCUACCUAUAAGACUGGGAUAACUCCGGGAAACCGGGGCUAAUACCUGAUAAUAUUUUGAACCGCAUGGUUCAAUAGUGAAAGACGGCUUCGGCUGUCACUUAUAGAUGGACCCGCGCCGUAUUAGCUAGUUGGUAAGGUAAUGGCUUACCAAGGCAACGAUACGUAGCCGACCUGAGAGGGUGAUCGGCCACACUGGAACUGAGACACGGUCCAGACUCCUACGGGAGGCAGCAGUAGGGAAUCUUCCGCAAUGGGCGAAAGCCUGACGGAGCAACGCCGCGUGAGUGAUGAAGGUCUUAGGAUCGUAAAACUCUGUUGUUAGGGAAGAACAAAUUUGUUAGUAACUGAACAAGUCUUGACGGUACCUAACCAGAAAGCCACGGCUAACU
rnacentral:rRNA from 2 species